AAGCCAGAUUUCAAUCGCCUUUUUCUGAUUCUGAUGUUACAUGUACAUGCAAUAUCUCAGGAACUUGUACAGUAACUUGAUGCAGAAAAAAGGCUCAAAAAGAUAGAUAUAGUGCGUGUAAAUAAUUCAAAUUAACACAAAGUAACUGACAGCCCUCAAACACAACAAUAUGUUUUAAGUGCAUUAUUGGAAAAUCAAUGGAUGCUUUCUGCUCAGUGCAAAUGAAAAUGUUGUAUGUGAUGUUGCUUGAGGACGGAGCCUGUUCUUGACAUAUGACCUUAGAGUUAUGUGUGCAUGGGCAUCACAAGAUGAGUGUGUGCACGGCAAAUCAAUAGCAUCCUUUUAUUUCCUCAGCCAUUCCUCCGUAUCCUGCUGUCCACCUCAGGCUGCUGCAGCUCUGAGAAUCAGCAACGCAAACAGGAAUGCAUUUAGAGGAAUAAGCUAAUGGAUUCUGGAAGUGAUGAAAAAACUAAAAUCCAUUUUCACUCAUAAAGUGUCACAUUACUGAAUAAAAUGCUUUGUAUCAAGUUCCAUAACUGUUAAGUUCGCUCAGCAUAUAUAAGUCACAUCUAGUCUAAUGAAGCGUCCCACACAUGUAGCAUCUUCAAGUAACACAAGGCAAAUUAUAUCAAUAAAUCCUGAAAAUAGAUAUCAUUGAUACAUUCCAAUUAAUUAUUCAUGUUAUUCUGGUUACCUGGGUUCAUGUUCUAUAGAGCUGGAAAAUAGAAAAGCAACAUUCAAAUUUGUCAUGUAAAAAAACAGCAGGCGAUCCACCCCUCAAUUACUCUAUAACAAAGCAGAGUGAUGCUGCUGACUUGUUAAUACUUCAUAACAGCAUAAAAAGUAGCAUCAUUUGAAAGCAGUUGUUACAAAAGCGGCCGAAUUGAGCAUUGUUGGUCAGGAAGUUCUACAAUACUAAUAUAGAAUACAAUAUCCACAUUUUUAAAAUGAACGAUCCUGAAGAAAAAUACCAUAUUUUAUUUAUUAGGGCAAAACAAAAAAAAAUAACACACAUAGGCCAAUAUAUAAAGUGAGAUAUAUAAUAGAUUAUUAAAUAAUUUUAUUUAUAAACAUUUCAUUCUAAAGUCAUUAUGAGCUCUCUGGUUUUCCUGCUGAUGUUGUCUCAUGCCUGUGAGACCGCUCAGGCUGCACUACAUGUGACCCCUCAUGUGCUAACAGCAGAGUUCAGGAGGAAAUAAAUCCUUCCCACAGAGCACCUGACUUAACAUACCACAAAUAGUCAGCCAUUAGCUUCUUUCCUCAUUAGUCUCCACUAUGUCGUAUCUUAACAACAUUGUUCAAGAGGUUCAGGGAAUUUCUAAACAAACAUAAAGUUAGAGAGUUAUAUUUCAGACAGGGGAAAUCAUUGGAAAUAGUCGAAAAUCUGGCAAUUUUACAACUGCUCGCUUUCCAGGAAUAUUCCUGUAUUUAUUUAAUAAUAAGAUUGCAGUGUUUUAGUAGUUUUCUUCAGAGCAAGCCAAAAUGAAAUGAUAUGCCAUUAUAAAAUACCUCUGAGUUAAAAAAUAUAAUAACAAAGCAGGUAAUAAUCACAUUUUUAGCUUGUGGAACUGCCUAAACGUAGUGUGAAAAGUAAUGGAAGGGCAUAAAACUUAACGUCAGCUAAACUUAAAAAUGUAUAGAAACACAUAAACGCAGAGCCCGCUCCGUCUCCCAGCUGCAGUCUCACACACUAACAAGCUUUCCGUUUUCAAACACUAACUCACACAAAAUGAGGAUUGUGUUUUAUUAUUGGCCAAAAGCCAGAUCAAUAAGUUUGUGAAAUGCCAGUACAAGAUCAGACCAGACAGGCAAACCAGUUCAUGAAUACAGCAAGCGUAACAGGCAUUGAGUGCAUCCAUAAGGCUUACGUAAACAAACCUCCCUCUGUCAUAGGUAGCCUCUAUGCCUCUAUGUAUUGAUCCUGAUCCUUGUUGUUUUUGCUGUGUGUGUGUGUGUGUGUGUGUGUGUGUGUGUGUGUGUGUGUGUGUGUGUGUCCGUGUCCGUGUUCUGGUCUGGCUUCCUGAUCUCCUGUCUGCUGCUGAUCACAGGCACACCUGACUUCCAUCAUCAUCAGUCUCCACUGCUUAUCUACCGGCUCUACCACACUGCCAGUGCGUCUCCGUACAUGUCCUCAGUCUGUCCUCGGGUCUUCUGGAUAUCUGUUACCACACCAACUGCCACGUCACACUCGCCAACCGGCCAACUUCGCCUCCGGAGCCUGCCGUCUACCAGGACCAACCUCCAGGCUUCACGGGUCCACCGCCUGGCCUGCCCAGCCCUUCCCACUACACUCGCCAGUCCAGAGCCAGCUCACCUUGUCUCCGUCCAGAGUGUCGCCAGUCUCUCCCUCGACCCGGGCCGGUCGAGUCCUCGGGGCGACCACGAACCACGCACAGAUAACCAAACUGCAUAAUAAAGACUGUUCCAACUAUA